GAGACAGAGUCUCUCUGUGUAGUUCAGGUGGUCUUGAACUCACUAUGUAGCCCAGGCUGGCCUCAAACUCACAACGAUCCUGAACAGGAGGCUGAUUUCGACUGCCUAGAGAGAGGAACAGCGAGGUCUAAAGAAAAAACAACAGAAAUGCAUAACUUCGAAGUACACAAGGUGCUGAGAGGCGAAAACUUUCUCUUUUUUAUGACUAUGGGAUUCUCAAGGAACCAGGAUGCCUUCAGCUGA
rnacentral:lncRNA from 1 species